AUUGAACGCUGGCGGCAGGCCUAACACAUGCAAGUCGAACGAGUGGCGGACGGGUGAGUAAUGUCUGGGAAACUGCCCGAUGGAGGGGGAUAACUACUGGAAACGGUCGCUAAUACCGCAUACCAUCGGAUGUGCACAGAUGGGAUUAGCGUGUAGGUAAGGUAACGGCUUACCUAGGCGACUAUCCCUAGCGGGUCUGCGAGGAUGACCAGCCACACUGUAACAUAGAUGCGGUCCAGAAUCCUACGGGAGGCAGCAGGGGGGAAUAUUGCACAAUGGGCGCAAGCCUGAUGCAGCCAUGCCGCGUGUAUGAAGAAGGCCUUCGGGUUGUAAAGUACUUUCAGCGGGGAGGCGUUACCCGCAGAAGAAGCACCGGCUAACUCCGUGCCAGCAGCCGCGGUAAUAC
rnacentral:rRNA from 1 species